rnacentral:rRNA from 1 species
CAGUAGCCACGGGAAUACGGAGGGUGCAAGCGUUAAUCGGAAUUACUGGGCGUAAAGCGUGCGUAGGUGGUGGUUUAAGUCCGUUGUGAAAGCCCUGGGCUCAACCUGGGAAUUGCAGUGGAUACUGGGUCACUAGAGUGUGGUAGAGGAUAGUGGAAUUUCCGGUGUAGCAGUGAAAUGCGUAGAGAUCGGAAGGAACAUCUGUGGCGAAGGCGACUAUCUGGGCCAACACUGACACUGAGGCACGAAAGCGUGGGGAGCAAACAGGAUUAGAUACCCCAGUAGUCCCUGUCUCUUAUAA